AAUGAAUCAAUCAAGUUGACCUAAAGAUAAAACACAACCAUCCCUGGAUCAGUUGAGAAUAGAGCAUAAUAUUUACAAGACAAUGCAAAUAAGUCUUGAACCAAUUUAGCUAGACUAGAGUCAGCCAUAUAAAUCUUUUUGCUCCAAUUUCUCCUAUUAGGGCACUCCCUUCAUGAUUCAUGUUCCCUGGAUGAGAUUGUAUUAUUUUAAUCAUGCCAUAAACCUACCACAAGCCUCCUUGAAGCAUUUAAACACGGCACAGAAUGAGACAACAACAAGAUUACAUGCACGUGUUAAGGUGGAUGAGUGACCGUGGACUAGAUAAAAUCCGUAAUGAG
rnacentral:misc_RNA from 1 species